rnacentral:rRNA from 1 species
GACGAACGCUGGCGGCGCGCCUAACACAUGCAAGUCGAACGAGAGAGAGGAAGCUUGCUUCCUUAAUCGAGUGGCGAACGGGUGAGUAACGCGUGAGGAACCUGCCUCAAAGAGGGGGACAACAGUUGGAAACGACUGCUAAUACCGCAUAAGCCCACAGCUCGGCAUCGAGCAGAGGGAAAAGGAGUGAUCCGCUUUGAGAUGGCCUCGCGUCCGAUUAGCUAGUUGGUGAGGUAACGGCCCACCAAGGCGACGAUCAGUAGCCGGUCUGAGAGGAUGAACGGCCACAUUGGGACUGAGAUACGGCCCAG